rnacentral:misc_RNA from 1 species
AUCUUUAUAAGUCUAUGGUAUAAACAGUGCUCGAAAGAUGUUACGGAGCGGGCGAUAUCAGCUGAGCGGAAACGGACUCACGCACGGUUAGAUAAACAGCGCGUCAAGCUCGACUCAGAGUUUCAUACAUCCGCGAGGCGAUCGGAGGCAGCCGUGUGUAGAACCAUUUCUCCGUUCAGAACCGUACGAGUUGUACAAAAGAAAAGACAAGAAAAAAUAAAAGCGACAUCGCGAUCGUUCCGAGUCGCAACGAUGCGACGUGUGUUGAUGGAGUAGCGCGUUCGCCGCAGGAUCGUCGAAUAAGAGGUUAUUAAUAUAAAUGCUCUAACAAAGAAGGACGAGAAAAUAAAAGAAACUCGCCCGAACCGUUACUUACUUCGGGUAUUUCAAUUCUCCGUCUCCCGUCACGAUUCGCGAAUGAUUUUGCUCGGUGCGUCAGGACGAAUAGAGUACCCCUUUUACUCGCGGAGAGACGAGAAAGCUGUAGCGGCCUUUUAAUCAACCUGAACCGACCAGAUCCUCGUCUCAUCUCAUCUCCGGCGGUGAAACUUGGCGGUGAUAAGUGGCGUUGCAACAAUUCUGACGAAAUAUACAUGCCUGCCAAGGCGUAUACGUGUUCGUAGUAGACACACUCGCGUUCGCGUUGCGAAAUUUUUUAAUUUCGCGCGGUUUGAGAAGGUCUUUUGUUCCGAGUAAAAAAAAAAAAAAGAAGAAAAAAAAAUCACAAUUAUAUAAAUAAAUAAAAGAAAAUAAUAAAAGUAAAACAGAAAGACUUCACGCGCGUUGGUGAAACGGAAAUCAGAAUCAAGAUGAAGCUCGAGGGGAACAGCUCGAGAGACGACGACUCGAACGGGAUUUUAUUGCAGCCGAGAAAAGGCUCGGUCAGACUUCAGAUCCUCCCAGCUCAGCCAAAGACCAUAACCCAUCUUCCGAAGAGGCCGCCCGUUGAUCUCGCGUUCACUGACCUCACCUACAGGGUUCGAGAAGGACGAAGAAACAAUGUAAAAACCAUAUUAAAAUCCGUCAGUGGACGGCUGCGGUCUGGAGAAUUGACCGCGAUCAUGGGUCCAUCGGGUGCGGGAAAAUCGACGCUACUCAACAUCCUCACUGGAUACAAGUGAGUAUAACACAUACGCA